AAUCCAUAGGUUAAUGAGGCGAACCGGGGGAACUGAAACAUCUAAGUACCCCGAGGAAAAGAAAUCAACCGAGAUUCCCCCAGUAGCGGCGAGCGAACGGGGAGGAGCCCAGAGCCUGAAUCAGCAUGUGUGUUAGUGGAAGCGUCUGGAAAGGCGCGCGAUACAGGGUGACAGCCCCGUACACAAAAGCGCAUGUGCUGUGAGCUCGAUGAGUAGGGCGGGACACGUGGUAUCCUGUCUGAAUAUGGGGGGACCAUCCUCCAAGGCUAAAUACUCCUGACUGACCGAUAGUGAACCAGUACCGUGAGGGAAAGGCGAAAAGAACCCCGGCGAGGGGAGUGAAAAAGAACCUGAAACCGUGUACGUACAAGCAGUGGGAGCACCCUUCGGGGUGUGACUGCGUACCUUUUGUAUAAUGGGUCAGCGACUUAUAUUCUGUAGCAAGGUUAACCGUAUAGGGG
rnacentral:rRNA from 1 species